UCUCCGUUGGUGAACCAGCGGAGGGAUCAUUACCGAGUUUACAACUCCCAAACCCCUGCGAACAUACCAUUUGUUGCCUCGGCGGUGCCUGCUUCGGCAGCCCGCCAGAGGACCCAAACCCUUGAUUUUAUACAGUAUCUUCUGAGUAAAUGAUUAAAUAAAUCAAAACUUUCAACAACGGAUCUCUUGGUUCUG
rnacentral:misc_RNA from 1 species